rnacentral:rRNA from 1 species
AAACAUGUCUAUAAGUAAAAUUUAUAGUCUUACCUGCUCACUGAAAUAUUAAAGAGCUGUAGUAUAUUGACUAUACAAAGGUAGCAUAAUAUAUUGUUUUUUAAUUAAAAACUUGAAUGAAAGGUUUAAUGAAAAAUAACUUUUCCUUUAUUAAAUAAAAAAUUAAUCUCUUAGUUAAAAUUCUAAGAUCUUCUAAAAGACGAUAAGACCCUAUAAAAUUUUAUUUAGUAUUUUUGUUUAGUUAUAUUAAUAAUAAAUUUUAUUGGGGCAAUAAAAAUAUAUUUUUUAACUGUUUUAUUUAAACCAUUAAUUAAUGAUGUUUAGGACCUUUAUAAAGAUUAUAAGAUUAAAUUACUUUAGGGAUAACAGCGUUAUUUUAUUUAGAGUCCUUAUCAAAAAUAAAGUUUGCGACCUCGAUGUUGAAUUAAGAAUCCUAUGAGAUGUAAAAGU